GACGAGGGGUGCAAGCGUUAUUCGGAAUUAUUGGGCGUAAAGGGUGUGUAGGCGGCAUAUUAAGUCCGCUGUUAAAUCUUCCGGCCUAACCGGAAAUCAGCAGUAGAUACUGAUUGUGCUAGAGGGUGGAAGAGAGAAGUGGAAUUCUCGGAGUAGCGGUAAAAUGCGUAGAUCUCGAGAGGAACACCAAUGGCGAAGGCAGCUUCUUGGUCCAUACCUGACGUUGAGACACGAAAGCGUGGGGAGCAAACAGG
rnacentral:rRNA from 1 species